AUCUAUAAGGGCAUCCGGAAUAUAAAGUACUCAAUUCCUAGAUUAGUAUGCGGAUCAAGAAGAUCUGAUGUGGUGACUCCGUAAUCACUUCAUAUGCAAAAGCUAAGCUAACAACACAAUACAAUGCUUCAUAGAGGUUUUAAUGUCUGCUUAUUUCAAAAGGAGGUAGAUCCAUGGCAAACUACGUAGUAAAAUAGUAGUGGAUUUGACAGAAUAAAUAUACAUAAGUAAUUAAACAUAUACUGUGUUUCAAUAUGCAAAAGAACUACAGUGAUCUAUGUAAGAAGAGACAGGAGUUUAUCUGGCAAGAAGGAACCAAGAGGAAGAGGAGCCCAACAGGCAGUGGGAAGAUGUGGAAGAGGAGGAUCAUGAAGUUCUACCAAAAAAGGUAGACCAACUCCAAUGAGGAGCAGCUGCCCACAAACAGAAGAACCUGAAAGCUCUUCAGAGAGAAACCAAGAGCCUGGAAGGAGACCACGUUAAAGAGAUGCUAGAUGCAAUGAGAGCCCAUGCCAAGGCCAACCUCCGAGAUACCGUCAUGCAAGAUCAUGAAGAAAUGGACAACAUCAGCAAGCCCUGAAAAUAAGUCAUAGAAGUACAGAUUUUUGGUUCUUGUAUGUACCUUUUUAGGAUUCGAGGUGUCAGAUACUAAAGAUAAAGAUACUACUAUUCACUUUUCACAAGGAUAUACACAAUUUUCCUCUAUUAUGGUUUACGAUGAAGGCCUUGAUCCUGGAGACCAGGGUGUUUACAGGUUGACAUCCAAAUGUGUUCCUUCUCAGUUCCUCCACUAAUUAUUUCAUUUCAUAGCUUUGUUUUUCUAAUAUUUGAAAAUAUAUUAAACUUGUUUUCUAAAUUCUGUCCUGUGAUUUUGUAAAUGUGUACAGUAGGAUUCAUCUUGAAUACUUUAAGGAGUACAUUUAAAGUACAUAAACAGUAAGCUACAAGCAACAUGCCAAGUAAAG